UGGGAUGUCGCCAAGCGGUAAGGCACUAGACUUUGACUCUAGCAUUCGUCAGUUCAAAUCUGGCCAUCCCAGCCA
rnacentral:tRNA from 1 species